rnacentral:rRNA from 1 species
GUAGUCCACGCCGUAAACGAUGAAUACUAGGUGUAGGGGUUGUCAUGACCUCUGUGCCGCCGCUAACGCAUUAAGUAUUCCGCCUGGGGAGUACGGUCGCAAGAUUAAAACUCAAAGGAAUUGACGGGGGCCCGCACAAGCAGCGGAGCAUGUGGUUUAAUUCGAAGCAACGCGAAGAACCUUACCUAGACUUGACAUCUCCUGAAUUACUCUGUAAUGGAGGAAGCCGCUUCGGCGGCAGGAAGACAGGUGGUGCAUGGUUGUCGUCAGCUCGUGUCGUGAGAUGUUGGGUUAAGUCCCGCAACGAGCGCAACCUUAUUGUUAGUUGCUACCAUUUAGUUGAGCACUCUAGCGAGACUGCCCGGGUUAACCGGGAGGAAGGUGGGGAUGACGUCAAAUCAUCAUGCCCCUUAUGUCUAGGGCUACACACGUGCUACAAUGGUCGGUACAAUGAGAUGCAACCUCGCGAGAGUGAGCAAAACUAUAAAACCGAUCUCAGUUCGGAUUGUAGGCUGAAACUCGCCUACAUGAAGCUGGAGUUGCUAGUAAUCGCGAAUCAGAAUGUCGCGGUGAAUACGUUCCCGGGCCUUGUACACACCGCCCGUCACACCAUGAGAGUUGGCAAUACCCAAAGUUCGUGAGCUAACCGCAAGGAGGCAGCGACCUAAGGUAGGGUCAGCGAUUGGGGUGAAGUCGUAACAAGGUAGCCGUAGGAGAACC